GAUGAACGCUGGCGGCGUGCCUAAUACAUGCAAGUCGAGCGAACGGACGAGAAGCUUGCUUCUCUGAUGUUAGCGGCGGACGGGUGAGUAACACGUGGAUAACCUACCUAUAAGACUGGGAUAACUUCGGGAAACCGGAGCUAAUACCGGAUUAUAUUUUGAACCGCAUGGUUCAAAAGUGAAAGACGGUCUUUCUGUCACUUAUAGAUGGAUCCGCGCUGCAUUAGCUAGUUGGUAAGGUAACGGCUUACCAAGGCAACGAUGCAUAGCCGACCUGAGAGGGUGAUCGGCCACACUGGAACUGAGACACGGUCCAGACUCCUACGGGAGGCAGCAGUAGGGAAUCUUCCGCAAUGGGCGAAAGCCUGACGGAGCAACGCCGCGUGAGUGAUGAAGGUCUUCGGAUCGUAAAACUCUGUUAUUAGGGAAGAACAUAUGUGUAAGUAACUGUGCACAUCUUGACGGUACCUAAUCAGAAAGCCACGGCUAACUACGUG
rnacentral:rRNA from 1 species